rnacentral:lncRNA from 1 species
UGUUCCAUUUUUAUGCCCCACCUACGAUAGUAGAGGGGCAUUAUGUUUUCUGGUCUGUGCGUCGUUCGUUCGUUCGUCCGUCCGUUCGUUCGUCCGUCCGUUCGUUCGUCCGUCCGUUCGUUCGUUCGUCCGUCUGUCCCGCUUCAGGUUAAAGUUUUUGGUCGAGGUAGUUUUUGAUGAAGUUGAAGUCCAAUCGACUUCAAACUUGGUACACAUGUUCCCUAUGAUAUGAUCUUUCUAAUUUUAUUGCCAAAUUAGAGAUUUUACCCCAAUUUCACGGUCCACUGAACAUAGAAAAUGAUAGUGCGAGUGGGGCAUUCGUGUACUGAGGACACAUUCUUGUUUUUCUU